rnacentral:rRNA from 1 species
UAGUAAUGGCAGGUCAGCAUACUGCCGUGAAUACGUUCCCGGGCCUUGUACACACCGCCCGUCACACCAUGAGAGUUGGGGAUACCCAAAGCCCGUGAGCCAACAUUUAAUGAGGCAGCGGUCUAAGGUAGAAUCAAUGAUUGGGGUGAAGUCGUAACAAGGUAGC